rnacentral:rRNA from 1 species
AAGGAGGCAGCAGUGGGGAAUAUUGGACAAUGGGCGCAAGCCUGAUCCAGCAAUACCGCGUGUGUGAAGAAGGCCUUAGGGUUGUAAAGCACUUUCAAUUGGGAGGAAUACCUGUUGGUUAAUACCCGACAGAUUGACAUUACCUUUAGAAGAAGCACCGGCUAACUCCGUGCCAGCAGCCGCGGUAAUACGGAGGGUGCGAGCGUUAAUCGGAAUUACUGGGCGUAAAGAGUGCGUAGGCGGUUAUUUAAGUCAGAUGUGAGAGCCCUGGGCUUAACCUGGGAACGGCAUUUGAUACUGAAUAACUGGAGUUUGGGAGAGGUAAGUGGAAUUUCAGGUGUAGCGGUGAAAUGCGUAGAUAUCUGAAGGAACACCAGUGGCGAAGGCGACUUACUGGCCUAAAACUGACGCUGAGGCACGAAAGCAUGGGUAGCAAACAGGAUUAGAUACCCCAGU